GCGCUCGGGCUGGGCUGGGCUGGGCUGUCCGCGAUCGCGGUGCCCGGGCUGCAGCCGCCCCU
rnacentral:miRNA from 12 species